rnacentral:rRNA from 1 species
AACGAACGCUGGCGGCAGGCCUAACACAUGCAAGUCGAACGCUCGUAGCAAUACGAGAGUGGCAGACGGGUGAGUAACACGUGGGAACCUUCCCUAUGGUUCGGAAUAGCUCAGGGAAACUUGAGGUAAUACCGGAUAAGCCCUUACGGGGAAAGAUUUAUCGCCAUUGGAUGGGCCCGCGUCGGAUUAGCUAGUUGGUGAGGUAACGGCUCACCAAGGCGACGAUCCGUAGCUGGUCNGAGAGGAUGAUCAGCCACACUGGGACUGAGACACGGCCCAGACUCCUACGGGAGGCAGCAGUGGGGAAUAUUGGACAAUGGGCGCAAGCCUGAUCCAGCCAUGCCGCGUGAGUGACGAAGGCCUUAGGGUUGUAAAGCUCUUUUGGCGGGGAAGAUAAUGACGGUACCCGCAGAAUAAGCUCCGGCUAACUUCGUGCCAGCCGCCGCUGU